CCAACGUGGAUACCCCGGGAGGUCACUCUCCCCGGGCUCUGUCCAGGUGGCAUAGGGGAGCAUAGGGCUCUGCCCCGUGAUGUACAGUCCCUUUUCCACGACGUUGGAGAAGAAGCUGGGCCUUGUGUCUGCACCUGCAUAUUCCUACAACUUCUCAGAGCCUUUUGGGCAGUGACUGAGGAGAUAAACCAUGCAGGAAACAGUC
ensembl:snoRNA SNORA73 Small nucleolar RNA SNORA73 family